ensembl:lncRNA
GCCAGAAUCAGAAUCAAACCUACAGCCUUGACAUAAACUCACUGUAAACUAAUAUUCAAUGUUUCUGCGGUUUAUGAAGGCAUUUAAGCCCUUUUAAGACCAAGUAAAACAAAAGUGAUUUCUCUCUUGUUCUCCAGUACAAAUAUCCAUUAAUUUUAAUACUUAAAGCCUCAGCAUGAAUAUAUCUGACUGUAAAUGUAAAGGAUGAAACCGAAACAGUCUGAAGGUAUGCAAAGAUCACUUUUAUUCACGUCAUGAUUGUGAUUGUCAGUGCACCUUGGGUUUAAGCAUCAGUUGGGGUCCGUCUGCUGAGAGAAACACGGGUUUAAGUGCAUUGUGGCAGUGGUAAGAUCAAAGGUCAGGGCUCUUGUCUGGUGUGGUCAAACACAAGGUGCAGCAUCUUCACAUCUCAUUCGAAAGGAACCAAACAGACAGCGAUCGAACAGUUGAAUGAUCAAGAGUUUUUCUCUCGGGGUGAGCGCGCCCGAUCCUGUCUGCCGCUGCGCUGGAGAUGCCAUACCCGCUGACCUCUGAGAGAGACGCUGGACAGUCCUAACCCUGCUAACCACGCUUGUAAACUUGGACUAGUGUAAACCUGAGCUGACCCGUCGCCAGGUCGAGUGUGAGCGGAACAGCAUUUACUGGAAGACACAGACACGGAUGUAUUUCCUGCUACAGACGCCACGGAUGCUCCGUUUGAAGCAUAGAUGUGAUGUCUCACUAACAGACUUUCACUGACCCGUUCUGUCUCAGAGAACUAGUUAGCAUGUCCAGAGGAACGCAGCAGAUCACCGAAGUAUGCAAACACCAGCAUUAAUCGUCACGCAGCUCUUUUCUACCCGGCGACUGUUAGAAUCAGUGGUAUUUUAGUGUUAAUGAUGUUAAAUGUGGUGCGAGGCACCAAUGCAGCAUUUUUAAUAUGAUUUCAGUGCAUAGUGACUUAAAGCAUCAAAUAUAGUGCAUAUGGAUUUUUUUCUAAUAAAAUGUUUUAAAAACAUUUUAAUGUCUUUGCGUGGAAUAGAGCUGCAUGAAGAUUUCUUAAAAAAAAAUUUAUCCCACACAUAGUUUCAGACGAUUCAUUGUUAGUUGAUCUGAGAACACAACGAAGCCCCGUUUCUAGCGAUUUAGAACCAGUGAAAAAUAAUCAGAACGCUAUCGGCCUGUUAAAAAAAUACGGUCAUAAACUGAGGUCUGUUCUACAGCUUGUGAGGUAACGUAGAGUUAUUCUGUCUCUAAACCCUGCGAUACAAAGCUUUGUCAAGAGCUUAGCUUAUAAUGCUCAGAGACGCACAGUGUGCAGGCAUACGUGUAAUGAUUAAUCAUCGUCGUUUUUCUGCUAACGCUUUAUACAAAUAACUUCCAUCAACAGUUUUACACUAGACUUUUAUUUCAAGUAGUUCACCCAAAAAGGAAAUUUUGCUGAACGUUUAUCAUUCCAGAUGUAGAUUUGUUUGUAGACUUAUGAGUUAUAGUUUGUUUCUUCAUCAGGUUUGUAGAAAUGUAGCACUGCAUCAGUGUCUCAGCUAUGGAUGCUCUGCAAUGAACAAGUGAUGCAAUUUCUCCAAAUCUGAUGAAGAAACAAACUCAUCCUGAUCUCGGAUGAUCUAAAUAUGGCCACAUUUCCAGCUCUUGCUCAUUUUAGGGUGAACUAUUCCUUUAAAAUAUUAAGUUUAAUUCGAGUCAUCUCAAGUUAAAUCCAGGAAAGCUAUUCAAACACUAAAUUGUAAGUUGUGGCAGCGAACUGCAACAAUUUUUACUAACAUGCAUAACAUAAUCACUAGUAUCCCUCAUUUUCUGAGUCAAGUGUGUGUUCGUGAUGAAAGUUAUCAGCCGUCAGAAGCGAAACAGAUCUUCCAGGAGUGCAGUGAAGUCCUCGAUAGCACCGGAGAGACUGGAGACAUUCAUCAUACGGAGCGGAUUCUGUCUUCAGCUAGCUCUCCUGGACUCAAAUCAUACCAUGUACAGAAAAUAAUAUUUAUAUAUAGUUAUAUAUAAUCUAUAUACUGCUAUAAGUGAAACACUCGUAUAUAAAACAAUCAGACCUCAAGUCAAAAGUUUAGUAACACAGUCAUGUAGAAAAAUAGGACAUCUUGACAAUUUCAAACGACUACGGCAUACACAGCAGCUACGACUGUCAUCGAACGCUAAACCAAUCAGAAGAAGAAUCAUAUGAAACUAAAGGAAAAGAUCAACCAAACGAACUGAAUCUCACGGGCUGGGCUGCUGAAGCCCUUCUCAAAGGGAAGCACACGGCUGAUCUUCUAGUAGCUUCAUUCUACAGGGUUUAUUGCUGCAAACAAGCGUUUUAAUAAAGGACUCUGUACUUUCUAGUGUGUGCUGUGUGAGAUGUUGAGGUGAGAGCGCGCUGGAGGCCAUCGAGGGGCGAAAGGAGCCAGGAGUCUCACAUUUAAUUCGCUUUGGUCCCGUUUCGGUGUUUCUUUCUGUUGUUGUUUCAGAGCUUCUGAAUGCAUCUGUGAUCAGGGACCUUCAGCAGACGAGCUCUGCAUUACAAACCAAUGCUCACAGUCAGUGACUCUCCUGAUAGACACUGAGAGCGUUUGAGCAUUAGUGCAACAGAAUGAAGAGAAACACUAGCAUUCGGUGUGAAGUCUCUGCUGCUCACCGAGGCUGCAUUUAUUUGAUUAAAAAUACAGUAAAAAUUCUGAAAUAUUAUUAUAAUUUAAAAUAAGUGUUUUCUCUGUAAAUAUGUGUUAAACUGUAAUUUAUUUCUGUGAUGCGCAGCUGUAUUUUCAGCAUCAUUACUCCAGUCUUCAGUGUCACAUGAUCUUCAGAAAUCAUUCUAAUAUUCAUAAAAUAAAAGUUCAGCAUUUAUUUUGAAAUGGACAUUGUGAAUGUCACUUUUGAUCAAUUUAACGCAGCCUUGAUGAAUAAAAGAAUUAGUGAACAGUAGUGUGGUUAAAAUGUAAGCUAUGUUAUUUUAAAUACCAGGAAAAAUAGCUAUAAACAGCAGCAGUUAAUGAAAAGUUUGGUUAUAAAAUCAAGGCGUAAAAUGCCUCGCGGUGACCUUAAUUCACUGAAACGAAUCGACACUAUUAUGAGAGAGCAGAUCUGCACACGCACUUCAUCUGAACGACAAGUGAUAUUUUUGGCAAAAUUAGUUUGAAAUACUGUCACGCUACUGAAAAUUUAGUUAAAGGGACAGUUUACCCAAAAAAGUAAAUUCUGUCAUUGUUUACUCUCCUCGUGUUGUUCCAGACGCGUGCGAGUUUCUUUCUUCUGUUCAACACAAAAGAAGAUAUUCUGAAGAAUGAUGGGAACCGAACAACUGACGGUUUUCAUACAAUAGAAGUCAAUGGCUACCGGCAACAGUUUGGUUCCCAUCAUUCUUUGAAGGAAACUCGCACAGGUUUGAGUAAAUGAUGAUUUAGUUAUACUAACUGCAGCCGACACGCACGUCACUCGUCAAGUUGGCACUUAAAUAUAUACACCGCUAAUCAAGAGUUUGGAUCAGUGAGACUUGUGAUGUUUUUAAAGAAGUCUCUUCUGCUCAUCAAGGCUGCAUUUAUUUGAUCAAAAAUACAGAAAAAUACAGUAAUCUUGCAAAAUGUUAUUAUAAUAUAAAAUAAUGGUUUCUAUUUUAAUAUCCUUUAAAAUGUAAUUUAUUUCUGUGAUCAAAGCUGUAUUUUCAGCAUCAUUACUCCAGUCUUCAGUGUCACAUGAUC